rnacentral:misc_RNA from 1 species
GAUGAAGAACGUAGUAAAAUGCGAUACGUAAUGUGAAUUGCAGAAUUCAGUGAAUCAUCGAGUCUUUGAACGCACAUUGCGCCCCCUGGUAUUCCGGGGGGCAUGCCUGUCCGAGCGUCAUUGCUGCCCUCAAGCACGGCUUGUGUGUUGGGCCUCCGUCCUCCUCCCGGGGGACGGGCCCGAAAGGCAGCGGCGGCACCGCGUCCGGUCCUCGAGCGUAUGGGGCUUCGUCACCCGCUCUUGUAGGCCCGGCCGGCGCUUGCCGACACAUCAAUCUUUUUUCCAGGUUGACCUCGGAUCAGGUAGGGAUACCCGCUGAACUUAAGCAUAUCAAUAAGCGGAGG